rnacentral:rRNA from 1 species
UACGAAGGGUGCAAGCGUUACUCGGAAUUACUGGGCGUAAAGCGUGCGUAGGUGGUGAGUUAAGUCUGUCGUGAAAGCCCCGGGCUCAACCUGGGAAUGGCGAUGGAUACUGGCUCGCUAGAGUGCGGGUAGAGGAGAGUGGAAUUCCCGGUGGUAAGCAGUGAAAUGCGCAGAUAUCAGGAGGAACACCGAUGGCGGAAGGCAGGUCUCUGGGCCGAUACUGACGCUGAGGAGCGAAAGCGUGGGGGAGCGAACAGG